rnacentral:lncRNA from 1 species
GGCUGAUUAUGUAAAUCCAACCCACAGAGAUGUUGAUUAAAGCUGAGUGACACAGCUGACUUCGCUUACUAAUCAGCAGCCCCGUGGGUUGUGUUCAUUGGGCACCAAACGGUUGAAAAUGGAAUAAAAACAGGGCGGGACUAUCCAACCUGUCCAAUGAGGAACACUAAUUUCCACUCCUCUUUGUAAAAAAAGUUUUAAAAUGUUUUUCUGUUAUGUGUCCUAAUGAACACAACCCUGCUGGGCGUGCAACUCUUCUUUAGGCACAGUCGGGCCAAGAUGUCUUUUGUAAACACAGGACCAGGAAAAAUGGCGUCACAGAGAAAACACAGGUGAACAACAGCUUCUUUACUCACAUUACAAAUGCUCAGCAGUGUCUGCUUUUGCUUUUUUUUGGAAUGUCUGUUGACGUUUUGCUGAAACGUUUCAAACCACCUCGAUAAAACGGUGCCCAUGUUACAUGCUGCUGCCACACUAGUGGGUUUUACCACACCUCUUUGGUUGAAUGUUCCCCAACCCCUGGCUCCAGCAGCCUUCCUCUGUGUCCUCGUCCUAACUGUGACAGCCAUGGACAGUCAUAUUCCUAGUACCAGUCUGCGGUGUAACUUCUGUCCUCUACAGCACAAAGGAAGGUCCUGCAGUAACGAUUCCACCACCGAGUGUCUCCCGCAAGAGCGCUGUGGUACUAGUAGUGGGCGUUUCGGUCCCAUUCACAUCCUGUCUGCACAGGGCUGCUUGACCCCUGACCUCUGUAACUCCACCCAUGCCGUGACCUACCGAGGGGUCAGCUAUAACGUGACAUACAGGUGUUGCUGUCGUGACCAGUGUAACCAGCCUCCAGCCUCUGAUACCUACAUUAAGAGGCUGUUAGGAGUGACUUUGGGGCACGGUGAGAAGCCUCCUACCGCGACGGACCCUCUGGAUAGAUGCCCUGGAGAUGAUGACGUUGCGGAGGAUGACACCGUCACUCGGCUACAUGGAGAAAACAACAUGAAUUCCAUCUAUAAAGUCCUCUCAGAUCUCCAGGAGUGGCUAAAGAGUAGAAGCUAGGGGUCCGCCUGGAAUUCAGCCCUACUUGUUGCUGGGGGCAGGCCUGUUAGCCACAGUCACUGUCCCCACCCUCAUGCAAGGGAUGACACUUUAUCAAAUACAUUUUAUUUCCGGUGUAAAUGUGCUUAUUUAUUCAAUUAUUUGUAAUAACUUAUGUAAUGUGUAAUCUAUAUUUUAGUGAUGUUGCUAUAUUGACACAUGGUAAAAGAUGCAGUUCUCAGUGUGGUAGCUGGUGAAUGGCGUGAAUAAAGAGAGCAUGUUGAACUUA